rnacentral:rRNA from 1 species
AUUGAACGCUGGCGGCAGGCCUAACACAUGCAAGUCGAGCGGAUGAAGGGAGCUUGCUCCUGGAUUCAGCGGCGGACGGGUGAGUGAUGCCUAGGAAUCUGCCUGGUAGUGGGGGAUAACGUCCGGACACGGGCGCUAAUACCCCAUACGUCCUGAGGGAGAAAGUGGGGGAUCUUCGGACCUCACGCUAUCAGAUGAGCCUAGGUCGGAUUAGCUAGUUGGUGGGGUAAAGGCCUACCAAGGCGACGAUCCGUCACUGGUCUGAGAGGAUGAUCAGUCACACUGGAACUGAGACACGGUCCAGACUCCUACGGGAGGCAGCAGUGGGGAAUAUUGGACAAUGGGCGAAAGCCUGAUCCAGCCAUGCCGCGUGUGUGAAGAAGGUCUUCGGAUUGUAAAGCACUUUAAGUUGGGAGGAAGGGCAGUAAGUUAAUACCUUGCUGUUUUGACGUUACCAACAGAAUAAGCACCGGCUAACUUCGUG